rnacentral:tRNA from 2 species
AACUCAGAGGAAUGUUGAGUCGCACGGACUUUUAAUCCGUUGGUCACUGGUUCGAAUCCAGUACGGCCUACCA